AAUCCAUGAUAGGGGCAUAAUCUUAGCAUUCUUUUAAAUUUGUCUCAAGCUUCAUAUAAGGAAUCACCAUCAUUCUGUCUAAAGUUGGCGAUAAGAUUUCUUAUAUGAGU